UACAGAGGUGGCAAGCGUUGUUCGGAUUCAUUGGGCGUAAAGGGUCCGUAGGCGGUUCGGAAAGUCGGAUGUGAAAUCCAACAGCUCAACUGUUGAACUGCAUUCGAAACUCCCGGGCUAGAGUGUGAGAGGGGUGAAGGGAAUUCCCGGUGUAAGGGUGAAAUCUGCAGAGAUCGGGAAGAAAACCAGUCGCGAAGGCGCUUCACUGGCUCAUUACUGACGCUGAGGGACGAAAGCUAGGGGAGCAAACAGG
rnacentral:misc_RNA from 1 species